GUGGAUUGGGACGACCCUGACCGAGCACCGCCGCGUGAGUGAUGACGGCCUCGGAUUGAAAGCUCUGUCUAAGGGACGAACGUCCGGAGACCCACACGGAGAGACGGUGCCUGAACAGAAAGAACAGCCAACGACAAGAAAGCGCCGAGCAAAAUAAAAACCGCCCGCGGCCACAAUGA
rnacentral:rRNA from 1 species